rnacentral:rRNA from 1 species
UACGUAGGGGGCAAGCGUUGUCCGGAAUCAUUGGGCGUAAAGAGCGUGUAGGCGGCCACUUAAGUCCUGCGUGAAAUCUUGCGGCUCAACCGCAAGCGGUCGUGGGAAACUGUCUGGCUAGAGUCCGGAAGAGGAGAGUGGAAUUCCUGGUGUAGCGGUGAAAUGCGCAGAUAUCAGGAAGAACACCUAUGGCGAAGGCAGCUCGCUACGCGGUUAUUGACACUGAGGCACGAAAGCGUGGGGAUCAAACAGG